GGAAGUAUGAAGUUGGAACUAGGAAUGACGUCAUGCUGUGUUCCGGUAAAAGUCAUAGCAUUAGUCCUAAGUCAUAGCAAUACCUGUUGAUAACGAGGUAUUACAACGUAUUCUGUGUAUAAAAACAUCAAAGCAACAUGUCCACAGAAGUGUGUGAGACUGAUUUCAUGAGAAAAGCUGACAAACAGUUUAUUAGACAGCUUUCACAGCCGUUGACAAGUGCAGCAUCCAUCUUGGAUUUAAAAGCUGGGUUAGAGAUGUGCGUCAGACCUUCCAAAUUGGAAGGUCUGAUGGACUUGGUGGGUCAAAUUCCACUUGACUUCCCAGUCAAAUGGAAUGCACCAAUACAAACGUGGGUUUGUGAAUGUUGAUGUGAAGUUUCUGACAUUCUUCAUUUCUUCAGGCUGUUGUCUUACAUAGUGGAUAUUUUUCAUUAAUUUGUUUUUCUUAAAACAACAUUAUGGACUUUUUGUUGUAGGAGCUGUAUUUCCCCCUUGUGUGUUAUUUGAAUUUUCUUUUAGGUUUCCUGGUCUCCCCUGGUAACCCUGUGUUUAACGUCAUGAUGCUAUGAACUGUGGGUAAUUCCCACAGGUGAUGUCUGCAGAGAUGAUGACUUAUGGAAAGUGUUUGUUUCACUCAUGGAGUCAAAGUCGUUGGGUCCUUGAUGGCUCCCCAACAGAGAGCACAAUUAGGAGCUCAGCUUCCUUGGCUAGUCAACCAUGUUGUUUUGUGCAUAUGAAGACACUAAUUUAAAGAGAUGUGAUGCAGCGACAAGACGCUUUCAAACCUGGAACAGGAAUGUACGUCAGUGGUAAGUGGAGAUAGUUUCCUCUGCAGGGUGAGACAGUUGGAGAUUCAUGGGAAACAGCGGUGGCUACAGUGGUGAGUUAAUACGCAACUGCUGCUUUAGCACAGGACUGACAUCGCCCAACCCUUCUCUGGAGACCAUUUACCCAACCAUCUGAAGAAAUAUUUCUCAUGAAAGAGAACAAAGGUAGCACAUUAUUCAAGGUGCUGCCUAUACAUGCCAUGCAGCUAACAGACUGCUGUUGUUGAUGCGGAUAGGCUUGCUGUCAGAUUUGUUGAAUUAGCUUCACUAUGGACAGUUCCAACUUUCUUCCCUUCCAAAGAGACUACGGGAACAGGCCGACUGCCACAUCUCAUUAACCUCAAAGAUAUUCAGAAGGACAGGCUGGGAGAAGCAUCAGAUCCUCUCAGAUUUAAUUUGUUUGGUUCAAUCACAGCAGGCUGAUCGCUUGUAGACAUAGGAUGAAACACGAGAGGGACGCUUCACUCACUUGUGUUGACAUUAAAUCAUUUUCUAACUCGA